UGCAAGGAUGGUUUCUAAGACAAAAAAGACCGUGGCAUGUAAAAUCCAAGGCUGCAAAUUAGUCUUGUCAUGGAGAGAGUGAUCUACAUGCAUAGCUGUGUCUGUUGAACUGUCCACCACCAAUUUCUUUUGGUCAAAUGAAGUGCCCUCCUAUUCCCUUGCAGGAUCAUGCAUAAAGGAUGUCAUGGCAAUGGUCAGGACUAGGUGACUCUUCACCUAGAGGUCACUGUUUACUCAGUUUUUCCUUGAAGCGUGUGAAUGGA